rnacentral:rRNA from 1 species
GACGAACGCUGGCGGCGUGCUUAACACAUGCAAGUCGAACGGAAAGGCCCUGCUUUUGUGGGGUGCUCGAGUGGCGAACGGGUGAGUAACACGUGAGUAACCUGCCCUUGACUUUGGGAUAACUUCAGGAAACUGGGGCUAAUACAGGAUAGGAGCUCCUGCUGCAUGGUGGGGGUUGGAAAGAUUCGGCGGUUGGGGAUGGACUCGCGGCUUAUCAGCUUGUUGGUGGGGUAGUGGCAUACCAAGGCUUUGACGGGUAGCCGGCCUGAGAGGGUGACCGGCCACAUUGGGACUGAGAUACGGCCCAGACGCCUACGGGAGGCAGCAGUGGGGAAUAUUGCACAAUGGGCGGAAGCCUGAUGCAGCAACGCCGCGUGCGGGAUGACGGCCUUCGGGUUGUAAACCGCUUUCGCCUGUGACGAAGCGUGAGUGACGGUAAUGUGUAAAGAAGCACCGGCUAACUACGUG